rnacentral:rRNA from 1 species
UACGGAGGAUGCAAGCGUUAUCCGGAAUGAUUGGGCGUAAAGCGUCCGCAGGUGGCAAUGUAAGUCUGCUGUCAAAGCGUCUGGCUCAACCAGAUAAAGGCAGUGGAAACUACAUAACUAGAGUAAGGUAGGGGUAGAGGGAAUUCCUGGUGUAGCGGUGAAAUGCGUAGAGAUCAGGAAGAACACCGGUGGCGAAAGCGCUCUGCUGGACCUUAACUGACGCUGGGGCGCGAAAGCGUGGGGAGCAAACAGG